GGCCUAACACAUGCAAGUCGAGCGCUACCUUCGGGUGGAGCGGCGGACGGGUUAGUAACGCGUGGGAAUAUACCCUUCACUAUGGAAUAGCCUCGGGAAACUGAGAGUAAUACCAUAUACGCCCUUCGGGGGAAAGAUUUAUCGGUGAAGGAUUAGCCCGCGUAAGAUUAGAUAGUUGGUGGGGUAAUGGCCUACCAAGUCUACGAUCUUUAGCUGGUUUUAGAGGAUGAUCAGCAACACUGGGACUGAGACACGGCCCAGACUCCUACGGGAGGCAGCAGUGGGGAAUCUUAGACAAUGGGCGAAAGCCUGAUCUAGCCAUGCCGCGUGAGUGAUGAAGGUCUUAGGAUCGUAAAGCUCUUUCGCUAGGGAUGAUAAUGACAGUACCUAGUAAAGAAGCCCCGGCUACUCCGUGCCAGCAGCCGCGGUGAUACGGAGGGGGCUAGCGUUGUUCGGAAUUACUGGGCGUAAAGCGUACGUAGGCGGAUCAGAAAGUAUGGGGUGAAAUCCCAGGGCUUAACCCUGGAACUGCCUCAUAAACUCCUGGUCUUGAGUUCAGGAGAGGUGAGUGGAAUUCCAAG
rnacentral:rRNA from 1 species